CUAGCCGUAAACGAUGGGUACUAGGUGUGGGAGGUAUCGACCCCUUCCGUGCCGGAGUUAACGCAAUAAGUACCCCGCCUGGGGAGUACGGCCGCAAGGUUGAAACUCAAAGGAAUUGACGGGGGCCCGCACAAGCGGUGGAGUAUGUGGUUUAAUUCGACGCAACGCGAAGAACCUUACCAGGGCUUGACAUUGAUUGGCGCAUUUAGAGAUAAAUGUUUCUCCUUCGGGGGACAAGAAAACAGGUGG
rnacentral:rRNA from 1 species